CCCUUAGAUGUUCUGGGCCGCACGCGCACUACACUGAUGCAUUCAACGAGUUCCUACCUUGGCCGAGAGGCCUGGGCAAUCUUUUGAACUUGCAUCGUGAUAGGGAUAGAUUAUUGCAAUUAUUAAUCUUGAACGAGGAAUUCCUAGUAAACGCAGAUCAUCAAUCUGCAUUGAUUACGUCCCUGCCCUUUGUACACACCGCCCGUCGCACCUACCGAUUGAAUGGUCCGGUGAAGCCUCGGGAUUGUGGUUAGUUUCCUUCAUUGGAAGUUAGCCGCGAGAACUUGUCUAAACCUUAUCAUUUAGAGGAAGGUGAAGUCGUAACA
rnacentral:rRNA from 1 species